rnacentral:tRNA from 1 species
GCCGACCUAGCUCAGUUGGCAGAGCAACUGAUUCGUAAUCAGUAGGUCGCCGGUUCAAUUCCGGCGGUCGGCU